GGCAUUUUUCAGCCUGUGACACAGACUUGAUGUGAUUAAACAAAGGCUUUUCUCCAAAUUUAAAGCUCUUAAAAAAAAAAGCUGAAUCUAAUACUCUAACUUGUUUUUAAAUGGGAGCAGAUGCCUCUGUUUCUUGAGCUGACUUCCAGAUUCUGAGAAAUAAAUGAAGAGUGGAGGCUUGUUUUGGUAGAGGCUGAGAAAAGGAGUUGGCCAUAUUUGCCCUUCAGAACUUCGUGUCAUCCCCCAGCUCCCCAACGGCAGGGCCACAUUCUUUCACAGGACGGAGUUGGGGCAGAUUAUGGCUUCCUCUGGAUUGGAUUUCCCUUGGCUUCCCUGAGGGCAAUCCCCCGAGGAAGCACAUCCUGGAGCCAAACUCACCCAAUGAACCACAGCAACAGCUCCUAGGAGAAUGAAGAGUGUGAAUGGAUGGCCUUUUCAAAAUGAUGAGCCUGGAAGAGUUACAGACUCUGGCCCGAAAGAACCAAAGUUGAAGGUAGAGAUGUUUUAAGGAUGAGCAGAGCAGAACAACUUAGCAGUGGGAUGUUAAAGGCAACAUGAAUCAACCACUCCCUGCUAGAAUGGAAGAUUCAUGGGAGCAGGAACCUUGUUUACUAUGUUCCUUAUUGCAAUCCUAAUGCCUGGAACUCUAACUAAUACGUAGGAGGACUCCACAAUUCAUUGAAAACUGAAGAAAUGAAUUCACUUGCGCAUUUCCAGUUCCAUUCCUGAACUCUUCCUUUAGUGAGAAGCACAUGAUGACCUUGUUAAUAUGAAAAUUGAUAAUGGGGUGAGAGAAGAAAAGAAAAGCAUAAAAUACCUGUCUAAUCCAUGCACCACCAGACACCAGAGCAUGUGGGAAGUGGCCAAGAAGAUGAUGCAGGGACGUCUGAGCCCACUUUCUUAUUGGACUUUCCUAGGAUGCUGCCAGUGACCCCAGAGCCUUUUGUUUUCCUCCAAUAUUCUCAGUGCUUUAAAUAUUUAAUGAUCCUUCAACGUCUCUCUGAAUGCACUCCAAAUUAUGGAAGUCCUGGUUGAGAGUGGGGCCUGGAGCAGUUUAGAACCCUCUAAUCAAAGGCAGGUCCAUCUCUGGAGGAAGUUCCUACCUGGGGCAGAGAACAACUUAUAGCACAGUGCUCCAAAAUUUUCAGAGAACUGUGGGUAAGAUGAAUAUCAAGGUCAGGCUUAAAGUGGAGCAACAAGGGAACGGAUAUCCCAGUUAGCAAUCUGUGGCCCAGGGAGUGAGAGAACUUUAGCCUCAGCCAUUGCAUUUGUAACUGUUUGAGGAUGCAGGAGGGAGGGUCCAGGCUGGGCCUAGAGGACACUGAGACAUAUCUGGGCUUAUCUAAUGAGGUUGAGAAGUUGGUGGGCCACCAGGCUUGCUUAACGGGAGGGUAGAGAUUUUCACAUUGGAGUUUUCAUGUGGUGAUGUGUUUCCUUAGCCUCCCUGUUUUCUAGGAUACAUGGACUAAGGCAUUGGAGUGAGAUAGGAAAAGCUGGAAGGUCUCUAUGAGAUCAUGAGAGGCAGGGGUAAAGGGAUCUGCAGUAACUCAGUGUGACACAGUGUGGAACAGAAUGAUCUCUUUGCCUCUGUGGGGAGGACAGCGUGCCCUAGCACUGUGGCUGGUAGUGUUGGUGUGUCAAGGUCUGUUUCAGGUGGCACUGAAGGCUCUAUGAGCAUUGGCGGCAGAGUGGUGUGUUGGUGAAGAAGGAAAGCCCUAGAGCUCACAGCCAUCGAAGAGACACACCUAAGACAGCUCCUCACACUCCCAGAAAUGUCCUGGGGGAACUUUACAGGGGCUUCACUGGGAUGUGUGUGGGGAGGGCAAAUUUCGGUUAUUAUUUUAAUUGUUAGCCUAACCAUGUCUGCAUCAUGAUACCAUAAGCCAGGGAAACAGUUGGGUCAGAAUUAAUGGAAAUUGUUACUUUUCUCACGCGGUGAUGUUUUAAGUGCCUGCUGAACUCCAUUUCGGGCCCAUAGACUCAGGCCACGCAGGAGUGCCUCAUUUCUGACCUUAUAGAUGACUCAAGUAGGACCCUGAGAGACUGCUGAAAGCUUUCCUUCAUUUUAACUAAUUCAGCACAUAUUCUGUGGUUGCUUUCAGAGAGUAAGGCCUUGUACCAGGAACUUCCACUGUAGCCAAAUAGAAUCUGCAAGCGUGCCAUAAGAGAAAGCCUGGUGCAAGGGACAGAAGAUAGUUCCAGAAUCAAAAGACCUCUGUUUGUAUUUCAGGACAUGUUAUUUUGGGCAAAGAAUCUGAUGUCUCUGGGCUCUAGUACUCUCAACUGUGAAAUGAGAAAAUAUUUUAUGAAUGCAAAAUUGGGACAUAGAGUCUGACCAAGGUUUCCUAUGGGAGUUUCAGACAUGGUAAUUAGAAACCAGGAAGACUGAGAAGGAAUCAAAUUUGCAGCAGCUCAGUAAGUGGUAGACUGGGAACAAGAAGCCAGUUCUCUGGGCUCUUGAAGCAAGGCCCUGCCACGUUGUCUUUCCCCAGGAGAGGAGGAAACUGGGGAGGGAAUCAUGUUCCAGCAGUGAAGAACAAAGGCAGUUUUUUGGGGAUUUACAUACGCCAUCUCCUACAAAGUUAAAAAAUUUUCUUUUCCUGAAAGACUACAAUCAAGAUACAAACAUGUACAAUGGGUGAAGUGGAUUAACAAGAAAACAGAUACUGGCUCCCCAAACCCAUGAUGAAGAAAGAAGCUGGAAGAACUCUCAGAAGAGUUUUCAAGACCAUGAGUGCCCUUGCCAAAACCCAAUGGAAAAGUCUCUAGAGAAACAGAGGUCAUAGAAGUUUAAAGGCUCAAUAAAAUUCCAUGAAGCAUCAACCUGAAGAAUAAC
rnacentral:lncRNA from 10 species